rnacentral:lncRNA from 1 species
AAACAGGAAGCAUCCCUUUUUCCCCAUUCACCUCCUCUGGAGGCAAGAUGUGAGCCACCUGCAAGGAGGGACGCCAAUAAGGCACCCGAUAAGAUAAGUCUUAUAAAAUAUAUAGAUGUAUGAUAAUUGAGACUGAGCUAACGGAUGAGAAUCCUAGUCAUUGAACAAGCAGUAUUGUACCUAAUACAAGUUUCUGUGUAUUCAUUUGGGCCCUAACUCAGGCGGGGGCUGGUAAAAAGCUUCCACGUGGUGGUGGGGCUCAGCGGCUUUUGGCAAAAAGAUUUAUCAUAACAGAAUGGUGUCAGUGAGCAGGAUCACCACAUGUGCCAAGGUUCCCAGAGAAAGGGGUAAACCUGCCACCACAGCCUGCCCUGUGGGGACACUGAGAGGUAUUGGAGCAGCUUCCAUAUGCUUGAACUCUCCCGGUGCUUCUGGAGUUUAGACUUGGCACUCCCAAGAUGAUAAAGACAGAUCCAGACAAAGAGAAACCUCUUAACGUUUACAUUGCAUUUAAAAAUAUAUGUAUGUUUGAGAGAGAAAAAGUAACAGGAGGAAAUAGACUAGCCCAUUGUGGUGGCCAACACUGAUAGGAUUUGCUGAAGGAAGCAGAGACAGGCAGAUUUCCACAGAGAAACCCUGUCUCAGAAAAAAGAAACAAAAGGAAGUAAAAGUAGAAUAGUAAAAAAGCCACCUAGAGAUGAAAAAUACACAAAGAAUCUAGAUGCUUUAUGGCAUAUUGUUAUCUCUAAAUUGUUUGAUUGCCGAGGAAAGACUUACUGCUACUAAGAUACAUUUGAUUAUAAAUGCUGCUAAAUUAAUCCAACUUAUACAUUUUAAAAAAUUUAAGUCUAAGGACAGGCUACUUAGAAAUAAAGGUUUUGCUUGUCUUUCCACAGAAAAUCAAAAGCUGUUGAUUCCUUCCAAACUAAUAUGGUUUGACCAAGCAAGACCCCCUGAAGCUGAGAUGAUACAGCCUUACAGACUACAAAAACAAGGACUUGGUCAGGUUUCUAUGAAUUCUAAUGUGAGAAAACAAGAGCAACAGCUUGGACAUACUUUUCCAAUCCUUUAAAUGCUCUAUCUGGAGUAGACUUUUUCUGGCUUCCAAAUGUGUCCUGGAGGAAUAUUCAGGGAUAGGAACACCGCUUAGUAGAAGGCAUGUGUUUACCACAUAUUGGGCCCUAGAUAUUUUCUUUAGAAUCAUUUACUAACCCCAAAACACUGUGUAGGGCC